AGAGCUCUGCCCACGCUGUAGCUCCCGUCAUUCUCCAGAAGUCACACAACAGCAAGUCCUUCCGAAUUCUGCCAGUAACUUCAGUCUGGAGUGAAUCAGAUGUGUCUGCUUAAUUGCCAGAUAACCCUCAAAAGAGAAAGAAGAUAGAGGCAGGAAGUAAUGUGAAAGAAUCUUCUGACGUCAUAAUUCCUGCUGUCACUGGAGCACUGAUCAACAUUCCUUUGGCAAGUCAGGCCUUCUAUGGAAAGUCAGCAGAAGCAAUUGAUUUAUUCACCUCUACAGGAAUCAGACUUGGCCUA